rnacentral:rRNA from 1 species
ACAGAGGGUGCGAGCGUUAAUCGGAAUUACUGGGCGUAAAGCGUGCGUAGACGGUUAUUUAAGUCGGGUGUGAAAUCCCCGGGCUUAACCUGGGAACUGCGUUUGAAACUACAAGGCUAGAGUGUGGCAGAGGGGGGUGGAAUUCCACGUGUAGCAGUGAAAUGCGUAGAGAUGUGGAGGAACACCGAUGGCGAAGGCAGCCCCCUGGGUUAACACUGACGCUCAGGCACGAAAGCGUGGGGAGCAAACAGGA